AGCCCAAGCCCAGAAGCCUAAUUACCUGCUGAAACUAAUUGCUCCCAUCUGAGCCUCCUGCUGGAACUCCCCACAAAGGGCAUGAAAAUGAGAUGGGUCAGGAAAGUUGCAGGCCAGAGCCAGGAGCCGGGAAAAGCAAGACGUGCUCACAGAAGCCAUGCACGGGAGAGAGCUUAUUAAGUCACUUCUCUUUGAGCUGCUCCUCACUGAGCCAGCCAGAGAGACAGAAGCCUGCUUCCUCUGAAGGUGCCUGGAAUGACUCGCAAAUUUCAUUGAAAGUGGCAGGAGGGAAGCAGGCUCUGGAUAAAAUGAUGCAUGCACACAAACUUUGAUCUCAAUCAAGGCGCUCUACAAGGGGACCAUGGUGACAACACUCGGAGAAGCUGACACCAAGGAGAACAACGCCCAACUUUAGAAUGGGAGACCACCUCGCCUCCUCCCCUGGGCUGCUGCAGAGAAGUUUUGUCAGAAGGCCCACAUCUGCACCUGAGUGUUGGCAGCAUCCGAGGGUCACAGUCUGUAUCCCCAGGGAACAUGUUGAAUUGUAGCAGUUUUUCUUAGCACCUGCGCCAGCUCACCACUCCACUUCCCUGCUUCUCUACUGGGCUCCAGUCUCCUGGAAACCCUUCUCUGUGUGUGAAGGAGCUGCCGAAGAAGAAAUGGGUCCUCCUGCAGAAUGAGCUCCCAAACACAGCACCCGACCAAGGCAAUGGCUACCGGGGAUGCUGUGAUACUCCCAUAAUCCUGACGAGUCAACCACUAUGGCCUUAAUGGCUCUGUCUUCCAUUGGCU
rnacentral:lncRNA from 1 species